UCCAAACCCAGGCGAGGACGACGACGACGACUACGAAGACGAGAUAAACUCACUGCUCCACCCACAUGGGCGAAGAAGGUUUGAAAACGCCGUAAAAGCGACAAAGGUCAGUUCAAUCCUGGAGAGGCAGACAAGACCUCGUGCUGCCAGAAGCCAAUAUCAUUGGUAUGAGCUCUGAUCUCUCGCUCGGCGGAGUUCUUUUUCUUGUUCAUAUCGCGCUUGAUGUUUAAUUCUUUUCUUUUUGUUUUUAUGCAAGUCAUUCUGGGGAUGAAUGCGGAGAAAAUGGAGAUGAUAGAGAGAUAAGAGAGUAUAGGAAGUGGGUGGUGCCUGAAAACGCUCUCAUCCUCCUCCUUCCCUUUUACCUCUCUUCUUAUCCCUUGACUGCUCUCGCGAAUGGCAAGUCGUACUGUACUUCUAAUUACUAUAUUUUUGGCCAUCUGGAUUAGCGCCCAUCCAAGAAAAGAAUCAAGGUUCAAGUUUUGAAUUUGUGUGCAAGGCGAACCCCAAGGAUGAUGAUCAUGAUUCUUGCCGUAUCUCGGAGUUCCCGACGACAGUAGCAGCGAUGCAUCUGUCCACUGCAACUGCGGAAGAACCAGAGGGUUGCGAUGUUUGCGGAGCCGCCACCGGCGCCGGGCAAAAAAAAGAACCGAAUACGAAAUCUUUCAAUACACGGUAUGUAUGAUUACGGAAUACAUACAGCGCUAAAAUGAAAAGAAAAAGAAAAAAGAAAAAGAAAAAAAACCACGGCACAACUGUCCCGAUUGGCUGGUGAUCUGACCCCACCCCCAGACGUAUGCCCCAAAAUAAUUCACACCAAAACUGCCCAUUGCUGGGGAUUGCAGUCAGUCGACUGUGAUCAGACCAAUACUCAAACAACACAGACGGACAGUACCGAGGCACCCAAGAAGGAUAC
rnacentral:sRNA from 1 species